GCAAGUCGAGGGGUAACAGGAAUUGCUUGCAAUUCGCUGACGACCGGCGCACGGGUGCGUAACGCGUAUGCAACUUGCCUCAAACUGGAAGAUAGCCCGGGGAAACCCGGAUUAAUAUUCCAUAGUAUCCAUUCUUCGCAUGUUGAAUGGAUUAAAGCUUCGGCGGUUUGAGAUGGGCAUGCGUGACAUUAGCUAGUUGGUGAGGUAACGGCUCACCAAGGCUUCGAUGUCUAGGGGGCCUGAGAGGGUGAAC
rnacentral:rRNA from 1 species